UACAGAGGUCCCAAGCGUUGUUCGGAUUCACUGGGCGUAAAGGGUGCGCAGGUGGGUUUGCAAGUUCGAUGUGAAAGCCCCGGGCUUAACCCGGGAAUGGCAUUGGAUACUGCAGAUCUGGAGGAUCGGAGGGGGGACUGGAAUUCUUGGUGUAGCAGUGAAAUGCGUAGAUAUCAAGAGGAACACCAGUGGCGAAGGCGAGUCCCUGGACGAUACCUGACACUGAGGCACGAAAGCUAGGGGAGCAAACAGG
rnacentral:rRNA from 1 species